rnacentral:tRNA from 1 species
GGCUCUGGUGCAAUGGAUAGCGCAUUGGACUCUAGAUUCAAAGGUUGUGGGUUCGAGUCCCACUAGAGUCA